AUCGCAUGGUUCAGACAUAAAAGGUGGCUUCGGCUACCACUUACAGAUGGACCCGCGGCGCAUUAGCUAGUUGGUGAGGUAACGGCUCACCAAGGCGACGAUGCGUAGCCGACCUGAGAGGGUGAUCGGCCACACUGGGACUGAGACACGGCCCAGACUCCUACGGGAGGCAGCAGUAGGGAAUCUUCCGCAAUGGACGAAAGUCUGACGGAGCAACGCCGCGUGAGUGAUGAAGGUUUUCGGAUCGUAAAGCUCUGUUGUUAGGGAAGAACAAGUGCCGUUCAAAUAGGGCGGCACCUUGACGGUACCUAACCAGAAAGCCACGGCUAACUACGUGCCAGCAGCCGCGGUAAUACGUAGGUGGCAAGCGUUGUCCGGAAUUAUUGGGCGUAAAGGGCUCGCAGGCGGUUUCUUAAGUCUGAUGUGAAAGCCCCCGGCUCAACCGGGGAGGGUCAUUGGAAACUGGGGAACUUGAGUGCAGAAGAGGAGAGUGGAAUUCCACGUGUAGCGGUGAAAUGCGUAGAGAUGUGGAGGAACACCAGUGGCGAAGGCGACUCUCUGGUCUGUAACUGACGCUGAGGAGCGAAAGCGUGGGGAGCGAACAGGAUUAGAUACCCUGGUAGUCCACGCCGU
rnacentral:rRNA from 1 species